rnacentral:rRNA from 1 species
GACGAACGCUGGCGGCGUGCCUAAUACAUGCAAGUCGAGCGGAAGUUGGAGAGCUUGCUCUUCAACUUUAGCGGCGGACGGGUGGGUAACACGUGGGCAACCUGCCCUGCAGAUCGGGAUAACUCCGGGAAACCGGUGCUAAUACCGAAUAGUUUUCGCCACCUCCUGGUGGCGUACGGAAAGACGGUUUCGGCUGUCACUGCAGGAUGGGCCCGCGGCGCAUUAGCUAGUUGGUGGGGUAACGGCCCACCAAGGCAACGAUGCGUAGCCGACCUGAGAGGGUGAUCGGCCACACUGGGACUGAGACACGGCCCAGACUCCUACGGGAGGCAGCAGUAGGGAAUCUUCCGCAAUGGACGAAAGUCUGACGGAGCAACGCCGCGUGAGUGGCGAAGGUUUUCGGAUCGUAAAACUCUGUUGUGAGGGAAGAACAAGUACCAACUAACUACUGGUACCUUGACGGUACCUCACCAGAAAGCCACGGCUAACUACGUGCCAGCAGCCGCGGUAAGAC